AGGCAACUCGAGUGAAGAUUUAGGAGGUCAAGUCGGGGCAGACAUACGUUCGAAGGGGAAGCUUUAAGGUAAAGUCUAAGUUAAAGCUCCGGAUGAUGAUCAAGCUGAAUCAAGAACCAAACACAAUUUAAAUCCCUGUUGCUUCCGCGUUUUAGUAGUUUAUAUUUGUAAACUUAAGGACAUGUACUUUGUAUCAAAUCGUAGUUACUUGCUUAAUGAAAUCUCUUUUGAACAUAAA